rnacentral:rRNA from 1 species
UACGAAGGGGGCUAGCGUUGUUCGGAAUUACUGGGCGUAAAGCGCACGUAGGCGGACUAUUAAGUCAGGGGUGAAAUCCCGGGGCUCAACCCCGGAACUGCCUUUGAUACUGGUAGUCUCGAGUCCGGAAGAGGUGAGUGGAAUUCCGAGUGUAGAGGUGAAAUUCGUAGAUAUUCGGAGGAACACCAGUGGCGAAGGCGGUGCUCUGGGCCGGAACUGACGCUGAGGAGCGAAAGCGUGGGGAGCAAACAGG